CAGGUUCAGGAGCCUGAUGGUUGAGGGGUUAUAACUGUUCCUGAACCAGGCAGGACUGCUAACUGUGCCGAUGUACACAGCUCACGGAAGGUGGCUGCACCUAGGUUAGGGUGGUAAGAAAGACAUGUGGCACACUAGCCUUUAUAUGUCAAGGAACUGAAGUCUACAGCCAGGAAGUUAAGUUGCAGCUUUGUAAAACUCUGACUGGGCCGCAGCUAGAGUUAGUGCAUUCAAUUCUGGUCAGCCUAUCUUAGGAGGAAUGUUGAGGAUCGGGAGAGGACACAGACAAGAUCUCCAGGACGUUGCCUGGAUUAGAGGGCACGUGCUAUAAGGAAAGGCAGAAGAUACAAAAUUCUGAAAGCACGUACCACCAGGCCCGAGGACAGCUUCUAUCCCACUGUCAUCAGACUCUCGAAAUGGACCUCCCGCACAAUGAGGCAUUUACAGGAAAAAAGAAAUACAACAAAAUUUUACAAAGAAGAUUCAGAUACCGACAAACAACCAAUGAGGAAAAGAAGAUAAAUUGUGAAAAAACUCAAUACUGAGAACACAAGUUGUAAAGAGUCCUUGAAAGCGACCUCUUACCUGACCUUUAACCUACCCUUCAUUCCUGGGCCAGAGAAGAUUUGGCCCUAGCACAAUGGCAAUGUUGCUGGGCGUCAUUUUGUUCACAUCCCGGUAUUCGGCCAAUUUCGCCAAAAAUUUAAUGAGAUACCUGGUUUUCCAAACAAAACAUAGAGAUUUAUUUUCUCUUGAGAUAGAUAGUCAGCCAACUGGGGUUGCCUUUGGUGGUGAGCUAUUUAACUGUGUGAGGCAUCACAAAACAAGUAAGGUGACUCUGUACAAAAGUGGGUGUGGUUUUCGUGGGCGAGUUUGGUUAGAAGGUGGGUUACAGAACUGUGACUUUCUCCUUGUGUCCCAUUUGUAGUGGAUUCUAUUAGAAGGAGUAAGAGUGAUUCCCAAACCAUACCCUCACAGGGAUGGCAAACCUACAGCACACUGGCCCAAAAUGGCACAUGCAAACAUUUUGUUAGCAUAUGGCACAAUGAGAAUAAAAGUCUACUGCCACAGUGAUGCCAAAGUCACAAUGAAGCAACACCUCAUAUUCUGCUUGAUUAGCCUCCAACCUGAUGGUAUGAAUAUUGAUUUCUCUAACUUCCACUAACUCCUGGUAACUUCCCCUUCUCUCUUUUCCCAUUUCUCAUUCUGGCUCCCCUCUUGCCUUUCUCUUCUCCUCACCUCCCUCUGGUGCCUCUCCUCCUUCCCUUUCUCCCAUGGUCCACUCUCCUCUCCUAUCCAAUUCCUUCUUCUUCAGCCCUUUACCUCUUCUACCCAUCACACCCCCCGCCCCAGUUCUUACUUCAUCCACCCUCCCCCUCACCUGGCCUCACCUAUCACCUGCCUUAUCUUCCCCCCGCCUUCUUACUCUGGCUCCUCCCUUCCUUUCCAGUCCUGAUUUAUUUAUUGAGAUAAGCCUUUCUGGCCCUUCGAGCCAAUCUCCUGAUUUAAUCCUAGCCUAAUCACGGGACAAUGACCAAUUAACCUGUCAACCGGUAGGUCUUUGAACCGUGAGGGCAAAACCAAAACACCUGGAGGAAACCUACGUGGUCAUGGGGAGAACGUACAAACUCCUUACAGGCAGCGGUGGGUAUUGAACCUGGGCCGCCUGUACCGUAAAGCGUUGUGCUAACUGCCCUGAUGAAGGGUCUCAGCCCGAAACAUUGACUCUUUAUUCCCACCAUGGAUGCUGCCUGACCAACCGAAUCUCUCCACCAUUUUGUGUGCGUUCCUCAAGAUUUCCAGCAUCUUGUGUUUACGAGAAUAAAGUGUGUUAGUCCUCCUUUUCUUGCUCUUUUAUGAAUUUGCACUAAUGCUCACAAUUCCAAUUUUCAUAUUUCUUAUGUUUUAUUUGAGGUAUAAUAACAACUUUGUUGGCGCGUGGGCAAGUGGUUAAGGCGUUCGUCUAGUGAUCUGAAGGUUGCUAGUUCGAGCCUUGGCUGAGGCAGUGUGUGUGUCCUUGAGCAAGGCACUUAACCACACAUUGCUCUGCGACGACACCGGUGCCAAGCUGUAUGGGUCCUAAUGCCCUUCCCUUGGACAACAUCGGUGGUGUGGAGAGGGGAGACUUGCAGCAUGGGCAACUGCUGGUCUUCCAUACAACCUUGCCCAGGCCUGCGCCCUGGAAACCUUGCAAGGUGCAAAUCCAUGGUCUCAUGAGACUAACGGAUGCCUAUAAACAAUAACAAUUUUACAUGUAAACUGGGUGGCAGGGUGGAGAUACGUCUCUACCAAAGGAGGUGUAAGACUGCUCCUUCCCUCCGCUAGCCUGCAGGUCACCCUUGGACAAGGUGUAGCACUUGCUUAGCCCCCCUGAUCAGGGUCACAUGAAACCAUGGGAGCAGGUGGUGGAUGGUCGUAUGAUCAGCUGGUGCAUAUCACAAGUCCUGGUUAAGCGACCACUGACGCCAGGCAGACAAUCUCUGAAGAGUAUUGAUAAUAGCUGGCAGUCACCCAUCUUGUAAAGAUGCUGUCCAGAAGAAGGCGAUGACAAAUCAAUUUUGUAGAAAAAUUUGCCAAGAACAAUCAUGGUCACGUAGACCAUGAUCACCCACAUCAUGCAACAUGGUACUUAAAGGAUGAUGACUAAAACAAUAGAAACAUAGAGUCAUAGAGUGACAUAAGCACAAAACAGGCCCUUCAGCCCAUCUAGUCAAUGCUGAACUAUUAUUCUGCCUAGUAGCAUUGAAUUGCACCUGGAUUGCUAUUUAAAAAUUAUACACACAAAAUGCUGGAGGAACUCAGGAGGCCAGGCAGCCAAUAUGGAAAAGUGUAAAUAGUCAACAUUUCAGGGUGAGACCCUUUUCUCGUUCCUGAACAAGGACCCUGAACAGAAACAUCCACUGUUUGCUCUUUUCCAUAGAUGCUGCCUGGCCUGCUGUGUGUGUGUUGCUUUGGAUUUCCAGCAAAUCUGCAGAUCUCGUGUUUGUGAUUUAAAAAUUAUGUUAUUUUUCCAUUCUCUUUUUCAAAGAUUAAUAUUAGUAAUCUUUGAAAAUGUUCUCUAAAACACUUGAUUUUAUUUCAAUCGGUCUCUGUAAUAGUUUUAUUCAUAUUAAACAAUGAAUAAGACCCAAGAUUCAUUAUUUUAAUUAUAAUUACUUAUUCACUAAUCAACGAUAAUCUCUUUGGAUAAUUACCAUAGAAUACAAGAGAACUUUCGAUCAUCGCCAAUUUGGGCGCACGAUCUCACCAAGGUUCGCCACCCCGCUCUGUCGUCAGCAUUAUGGGGGGGGGGGCUCUGUCUAAUACAAGGGCACAGCUGGUAGAGCCUGCCUCAGUGCGCCUGAGAAUCGGGUUCAAUCCUGAUCUUUGGUGCUGUCUAUGUGGAGUGUGCAUGCAGUAUACAACUCUGAGAUUCAUCUUCUCCAGACAGCCACGGAACAAAGAAAACCACGGAAGCCAUACAAAGAAAAACAUAAUUCCCCCCACACAAAAAACAAAUCGUGCAGACAACAAGAACAUCCAACCCUAACCCCUACCUGCGCAAAAACAAAUCGUGCAGACAGCAACAAAAACAUCAAACCCCCAAGCCUUCUUGGCCGCUGUAAUAAAGGCAUCCGUUAGUCUUGCGAGAACAUGGAUCUGCGCCUGGAAAGUCUUCACUCCCCAGGGCGCAGGCCUGGGCGAGGUUGUAUGGAAGAC